rnacentral:rRNA from 1 species
UCUGGUGACUCGUCAGAGGGGUCACACCUCUUCCCAUUCCGAACAGAGAAGUUAAGUCCUCUAGAGGCGAUGAUACUCCAACAGGGGGAAAGUAGCUCGUCGCCAGAA